rnacentral:rRNA from 1 species
AUUGAACGCUGGCGGCAUGCUUUACACAUGCCAGUCGAACGGCAGCGCGGGCUUCGGCCUGGCGGCGAGUGGCGAACGGGUGAGUAAUACAUCGGAACGUGCCCAGUAGUGGGGGAUAGCUCGGCGAAAGCCGGAUUAAUACCGCAUACGACCUGAGGGUGAAAGCGGGGGAUCUUCGGACCUCGCGCUAUUGGAGCGGCCGAUGGCAGAUUAGCUAGUUGGUGGGGUAAAGGCCUACCAAGGCGACGAUCUGUAGCUGGUCUGAGAGGACGACCAGCCACACUGGGACUGAGACAAGGCCCAGACACCUACGGGAGGCAGCAGUGGGGAAUUUUGGACAAUGGGCGAAAGCCUGAUCCAGCAAUGCCGCGUGUGUGAUGAAGGCCUUCGGGUUGUAAAGCACUUUUGGCGGGAACGAAAAGGACUGUGCCAAUACCACGGUUCGAUGACGGUACCCGCAGAAUAAGCACCGGCUAACUACGUG